CUAUCUUCGGAAUAGUAUUAACUGGCGAACGGGUGAGUACACGUAGGUAACCUGCCCUAGAGAUUGGGACAACUUCGGGAAACCGGAGCUAAUACCGAAUAAUGCAGCGGAUCCUUCGGGGUACAGUUGUUAAAGCGGGCUUCGGCUCGCGCUUUAGGAUGGGCCUGCGUCCGAUUAGCUUGUUGGUGGGGUAAUAGCUUACCAAGGCCAUGAUCGGUAGCUGGUCUGAGAGGAUGAUCAGCCACACUGGGAUUGAGAUACGGCCCAGACCUCUACGGGGGGCAGCAGUAGGGAAUUUUGCGCAAUGGGCGAAAGCCUGACGCAGCAACGCCGCGUGAUCGAUGAAGCUUCUAGGAGCGUAAAGAUCUGUCGUGAGGGAAGAAAAAUUCAGAGGUAAAUAAUUUUUGUUUUUGACGGUACCUUACAAGAAAGCACCGGCUAACUUCGUGCCAGCAGCCGCGGUAAUACGAGGGGUGCUAGCGUUGUCCGGAAUCAUCGGGCGUAAAGGGUCCGUAGGCGGUUUAACAAGUCACUUGUCACAGACAUCGGCUUAACCGAUGGAAUGCAGUUGAAACUGUUAGAAUAGAGUUUACGAGAGGAAAGUGGAAUUCCUGGUGUAGCGGUGACAUGCGUAGAUUUCCCAGGGACACCAAUGGGGAAAGCACUUUCUGGCUAAAUGGAGCUGGGGACAAACGUGGGAGCAACGGAUUAUUCCCGGU
rnacentral:rRNA from 1 species